rnacentral:rRNA from 1 species
AGGGAAACCGAGUCUUAAUAGGGCGUCUAGUUGCAGGGUAUAGACCCGAAACCGAGUGAUCUAUCCAUGAGCAGGUUGAAAGUGACGUAACAGUUACCGGAGGACCGAACCCACUGUCGUUGAAAAGCCAGGGGAUGACUUGUGGAUAGGGGUGAAAGGCUAAUCAAACUCGGUGAUAGCUGGUUCUCCCCGAAAGCUAUUUAGGUAGCGCCUCGGACGAACACCAUUGGGGGUAGAGCACUGUUUCGGCUAGGGGGUCAUCCCGACUUACCAAACCGAUGCAAACUCCGAAUACCGAUGAGUGAUAUCCGGGAGACAGACGGCGGGUGCUAACGUCCGUCGUCAAGAGGGAAACAACCCAGACCGCCAGCUAAGGCCCCAAAUUCCUAGUUAAGUGGGAAACGAUGUGGGAAGG